rnacentral:rRNA from 1 species
UACGAAGGGGGCUAGCGUUGCUCGGAAUCACUGGGCGUAAAGCGCACGUAGGCGGCUUCUUAAGUCAGGGGUGAAAGCCUGGAGCUCAACUCCAGAACUGCCUUUGAUACUGAGGAGCUUGAGUCCGGGAGAGGUGAGUGGAACUGCGAGUGUAGAGGUGAAAUUGCGAGAGUAUUGUGGAGGAACACCAGUGGCGAAGGCGGCUCACUGGACCGGUACUGACGCUGAUGCGCGAAAGCGUGGGGAGCGAACAGG